UGCUGCUAGUUAUGCACAGUGUUGCAGAUUCCCCUGUCUACACUACAAAAACCUUCUCUCAGUCACUGUCUCACUAGAUUAUACUGAAGCAACACCUCCCUCUCACCUGCACUGAGGUCUGGAUUUUUGAUUCAGUGCCAAUAUAAUAUAACAGUACAGCUGUCUGAUACCACGCCGCAUUCUGUCAUUACAUCACUGAUGAGGUCACUUCCUGUUCCUCCUCUCCAGUCAGUUCAGAUAAGUUGAGAUGAGAUGUCAGUUGGUUGUCAACGAUCACUAAGUCAACAUGAUCACACCUCUUAUCAUUAUCACUGCCCCACUAUUCUGGAUGACAGGUGUCUCUCUCAGUAGAUCAGUGUACCAGUCUCCCUCUACAUCACUGGUGAAGCCUAAUGCCUCUGUCACACUCAACUGCAGUCAUAAAAUCCCCAGAUACGACACAGUCCUCUGGUACAAGCGUUCUGUGGAAGACACGGCUCUAAACCUCAUAGCUUAUGUAUACUAUAAAACCCCAACAGUUGAACCCUCAUAUAAAGGUUACUUUGACGUGAAAGGAGAUGGAGAGAACGAUGCCUUCCUUCAUAUCCUCAAACCGAGACAAGCUGAAGACAGUGGGGAGUAUUUCUGUGCUGCCAGUAUACACAGUGGUACAGAGACCUAGUCCACUCUACAAAAACCUCCCUCUGACACUACAUCAAAACACCUGCAUUAAACCACAUGAAGGAGCAGACUUCUGUUCAGAUACUAUCAACACCUGCAUUAAACCACAUGAACUAACAGACGUCUGUUCAGAGAGAGAGAGUGGGGGAGAGGAGACAGAAGGAGAGAGAGAGCGAG